rnacentral:lncRNA from 1 species
GGGAGGUGUUUGGGCUCUGGGGAUGGCUUGGGCCAUCCUUUUGGUGAUAAGUGAACUCUCACUCUGAGUUCACAUGAGAUUCAAUCAUUAAAUAGUGUGGGCACCUCGCCUGCCACUCUCUCUCUCUCUUCUUCCUGCAUUGCCCUUGGCUAUGUGAUGUGCUUGUUUCUGCUUUGUCUUCUACCAUGAGUAAAAGUUUCCCGAAGUCUCCCCAGAAGCAGAUGUCUGCACUGUGCUUCUUGUACAGCCUGAAGAACCAUGAGCCAAGUGGAAACUGGAGUGCAGGCGCUGGGGCUAGCCAGCUGCUUUGGUGCUGACAGGGGCAAACUCCACUUAUUGGAACCCAUUGUACUCAACCUCUCAUGGGAGAGAGGAUGCAGGCCUUUCAUUGAUACAGCCAAUGGCUCUGAUUACAUCAGGAGUGAAAAGACGGC